rnacentral:rRNA from 1 species
CCUACGGGGAGCAGCAGUGGGGGAUAUUGCACAAUGGGGGAAACCCUGAUGCAGCGACGCCGCGUGUGGGAAGACGGUCCUCCGGAUUGUAAACCACUGUUACCAGGGACGAAGAUGACGGUACCUGGGGAGGAAGCUCCGGCUAACUACGUAACAGCAGCCGCGGUCACAGGUAGGUGCCGAGCGUUUCCCGGUUUUCCUGGGUUUAACGGGACCGUAGGGGGGGAUGCAAGUUGGGGUUCAAAAUUGCGGGCUCAACUGAUAGUCGCAAUCGAUACUGGAGCUCUUGAGUGAAGUAGAGGCAGGCGGAAUUCGUGGUGUAGCGGUGAAAUGCGUAGAUAUUACGAAGAACUCCGAUGGCGAAGGCAGCCUGCUGGGCUUUUACUGACGCUGAGGCUCGAAAGUGUGGGGAGCAAACAGGAUUAGAUACCCGUGUAGUC